UUUUAUGGCGGUUGUGCGCGGGAGACUUUCGGGUCUGCCGAGUUUUUGGAUUCUUUCCUCGGUCUGCGAACCCUCGCGCAACUGCCACCCAU
rnacentral:antisense_RNA from 2 species